UGUAAUGACAGUCACUAUAUUUCUUAGCUCCAUUCCAAAAUAUUAAUUGGGGAGCUGCUCAUUUAUAAUAGUGCCAAACUUCUGACAGACAGAAAUUAUAAAAGAGGCCCCAGAAAAGCAUCAGAAAAAAAGGGAAACUUUUAAACAGAAAUGGUAAUUUGAAAUACUAACCCUAGGUUUAAAAUUUAGAAAAGGCCUGUUUUCUGGAGCAGUCAUCUGGACGGUCCAACAGCUCCCUCUACUCCUCCAAGAGGGAAAUAUGAAACACAGCAGGGCUAUGUGGAUGUGUGAGCAGCCCAGGCUUGGGGACAGCCACGUGUUUCCUUGUUCCAGCCAGGAGCUCCAAAAUGGCCUUCAGCCAUCGGUCCUGUUAAAUAACAUAACUCACCUAAAGCAGAGAAUCCAUGGACCAAGUAGAAGUAAAUUGCUGACCCAGUUAAAAUCUACGGAGAAUGUGUUCUAUGGCAUAUCCACCAGUAUACCUUCAAAAGGAAAGAGGUUAUGUCCAAGCGAAGAUGAGGAAUAUCUGAGGUGAAACUU
rnacentral:lncRNA from 1 species